GAUAGAAGAAUGACAAAUUAGAUUUUUCUUCUUGAUUUUAGACUUUUUCCUCUUAGAAAAAUUUAAAUCCAACUAAAAAUACUAAAAAACAGGAGAAAAAAUGAUUUAUCAUCCUUCUAUU
rnacentral:pre_miRNA from 1 species